AUUUGCUCAGUGUGUCACUCAUUUUCCAACAUCAUUUUGGCUGGCUGAAUUCCAUCGCUUUCACGGGCAGUCUGCAUGUGUCUCCCCGCUCAUUUCUUUGUGACAAGCUCUCCAGCUCUGCUUCGGUCCUUCCACCCCCAGGAUAAAAAUGACUGAGACACCCCGUCACCAGAUUGCCGGCACUUUCCGCCUCCCCCCCCCCCCCCAGCUUUAUCGGGAUAUAAUUGACAUAUAACCCUGGGUAAGUUUAAGGUGUUGGUCUGCCACACAUAUGUUGCCAAAUGAUUACUGCGAGGACGUUAGCUACCACCAUUCUGUCACAUAAUUACUUUGUGUGUGUGUGUGUGUGCGUGGUGAGAACAUUUGAGAUCUACUCUCAUAGCAAUUUUCUGACAGGCAUGGCACCAGGGCCACUACUUACUGACAUAUCCCAUCCAAACCCAACUGCCAACUUCCCUCAACCCUCCUAAGAAUCACUCAGCACAAGUCCAAAACCUAUAAGAAGAACCUCUUGACAAGCCGUCCUGUGGGUACCCCCCCCCCCCGCCCGUGUGCUCUCUCCCUUUGCUACAACAAGCUAAAUAAACCUAACUUUGACCACAGAUACAGUCCUGGUGGUCUUUGGUUGGUGAGGCUCGACAUCCUGUAAGACUAAGUCACUUCUGCUGUCAUCAUAAGCAGCUGAUGUACAGUUUCAAAUAUUUUUAGGUAUCAGCAAGGGAUAAUUACCGGUAAUCAACCUGCUAGUAAUUUGGCAUGUUGUAAGAGUGUCCUGAGGAUGUGAAGCUGAUGUUCUCCGAAAUGUGGCUCAGGCAGCUGGUAAAUGCAGAGUUCUGCCCUCGUACGCAGCAGAGGCAGACUUCCCCGUCUGCGUAUCAUCAAUAUUGGAAGUGACUAACAGGAAAGUGUUCAGAGUUGGCUUGGCUGCCUGGAGGCCAGGGGAAGCCUCAGCUCUCCCGGACCCCUUUGAGCCUCCGGUUGGUUAGCCCCGAUUUUUUUCUCACUUCCUCUCUACCCUAGCGGCCAAAGCAAGUCCCAGGACCAGCCCUGUAUUCACAGUGGGUGGAAGCUACAAAGUCCUAGGACAAAAGGCGUGGAUACAGGGUGGCCAUUAAUUGAAGCCAUUGACACUAUUGUUUAACAUCUCUGUGUCUUGUCUGCAGAAUGGAGAAAACAAAACCUACCUCACAGAGU